AAGUCGUAACAAGGUUUCCGUAGGUGAACCUGCGGAAGGAUCAUUACCUUUCUGCUAUUAUAUGACUUGUCUUGGGGGCUGGGCAGUUUCUUGCAGUCUCUGACUACAUCCGUGUUUUUUGCGUACUACGUGUUUCCUCGGCGGGCUUGCUUGCCGGUUGGACAAACUAAAACUCUUUGCAAUUGCAAUCAGCGUCUGAAUUAUAUAAUAAUUACAA
rnacentral:misc_RNA from 1 species